rnacentral:rRNA from 1 species
AAGCUCCGGGCUUAAUUCGGAGAUGUCGUUCAAUACUGCGGGGCUUGAGACAAGCAGAGGAAGGUGGAAUUCCCGCUGUAGUGGUGAAAUGCGUAGAUAUCGGGAGGAACACCCGUGGCGAAGGCGGCCUUCUGGGCUGUUCCUGACGCUGAAGGCGAAAGCUAGGGGAGCGAACGGGAUUAGAUACCCCGGUAGUCCUAGCUGUAAACGAUGGAUGCUGGGUCUGGGGGGUGUAAAUUCCCUCUGUGCCGAAGCAAACGCGUUAAGCAUCCCGCCUGGGGACUACGGCCGCAAGGCUAAAACUCAAACGAAUUGACGGGGGCCCGCACAAGCAGCGGAGCGUGUGGUUUAAUUCGAUGCUACACGAAGAACCUUACCUGGGUUUGACAUGCACGUGGUAGGGAACCGAAAGGGGACCGACCUUCGGGAGCGUGCACAGGUGCUGCAUGGCUGUCGUCAGCUCGUGCCGUGAGGUGUCGGGUUAAGUCCCGUAACGAGCGCAACCCUUGCCCUUAGUUACAAGUGUCUAAGGGGACUGCCCGGGACAACUGGGAGCCCGGUGGGGAUGACGUCAAGUCAGCAUGGCCUUUAUAUCCAGGGCUACACACACGCUACAAUGGCCGGUACAAUAGGUUGCGAAGUCGUGAGGCGGAGCCAAUCCUCAAAGCCGGUCUCAGUUCGAAUUGCAGUCUGCAACUCGACUGCAUGAAGCUGGAGUUGCUAGUAAUCGCAGGUCAGCUAUCCUGCGCGUGAAUACGUUCCCGGGCAUUGACACACCGCCCGUCACGUCAUGGAAGCUGGCAACGCCUGAAGCC